rnacentral:lncRNA from 10 species
AGGAGAGCCCGGCUGGCUGACUGGAAUCCCAAGACAUGCCAAGGUCCCUGGGAAAUGACAGGACACCCAGAUCUGCUGGGAGCAGAGUUCUCAUAGGGUCCCAGCUGAGCCCUGGAACUCCCCAGACCCCCUCUGCCACUCCAUCUCUGCGUCAGCCCAGCACCUGUGCCCUAUCCGGCUUUGGCCACCAUCUCCACCCUGGGGAGGGGGAGCAUAACCCCCUCCAGCCUGAGGUUGGCGCCAAGGUUUAGGAGCCAGCACAGAAGCCUCUGAGAGCCAUAAGGGUAGAAAAGGUUACCCGGUACUAAACCAGCCAGCCUCGGGGUGAUCUCAUCCACUUCCCAAGAUAAGCCCCCUCCCCCACCCUCUGGCCACUGGCCAACAGGUUAACAGAGAGACUCCCUCACUGGAAGCAACUCAGAGUGGCUGAAGCACAGAAGUGGUAGAGGUAUGAGAUGGGGUUGAAGAGUGGGCAGGGCCAGGUCACACUCAGCCUUGCACAUCAUGAAGGGAUUGUGACAUUUUUCUGACUCCUUGGAAGCAGGGGAGGAUGGUGGGAGGCAGAAAUGGGAGGAUGUCACUGAAAGCUUUUAUUAUUUUUUUUAAUGAUUUGUUUGUUUGUUUGUUUGUUUGUUUUAGAGACAGGUCUCUAUUGCUCAGGCUGGAGUGCAGUGGCAUGAUCAUAGCUCACUGUAACCUCAAACUCCUGGGUUCAAGCGAUCCUUCUGCCUCAGCCUCCCAAGUGGCUGGAACUACAGGGGUGUGCGACCACUCCUGGCUCAUUUUGUUCAACAUUAUUUUGUUACAACAUUGAUGAAGAAAAAAAUCUAUUUCUGGCUGGGGCUACUGUCUGUGUGGAGUCUGUAGAGGACUUUCUCUGGGUACUCUGGUUUCUUCCCCCAUCCCAAAGAUGUGCAUGUUAGAUUAACUAGCUUGUCUGCAUGCUCCCAGUCUGCAUGAGUGUGAGUGUACUCAAGGCAAUGGCAUCCUGUCUAGGCCUGGUUCCCGCCUGGCGCCCUGAGCUGCUGGGAUAGGCUCCAGCCAUCCAUGACCUUGAACUGGAAUAACUGGAUAAAUAAUUCUAUUACUUGUUUUUAUUAAUCUUUCUUUCUUUCUUUUUUUUUUUUUUUUUUGAGAUGGAGUUUCACUCUUGUUGCCCACGCUGGAGUGCAAUGACACAAUCUUGGCUCACUGCAACCUCCGCCUCCUGGAUUCAAGAAAUUCUCCUGCCUCAGCCUCCUGAGCAGCUGGGAUUACAGGUGCCCACCACCAAGCCCGGCUAAUUUUUGUAUUUUUAGGAGAGACAGGGUUUCGCCAUGUUGGCCAGGCUGGUCUCAAAUCCCUGACCUCAGGUGAUCCACCUUCCCCAGCCUCCCAAAGUGCUGGGAUUACAGGUGUGAGCCACCACACCUGGCCUUGUUUCUAUUAGUCUUUCUUACACGUGUUUCAAUGUUUAAUAUGAGAAGCAUUUGGGUCUUUAUUUAGAAGUCUGAUGAUAUUUCUAUCACCAGAAAUAUGCUGUAGGAACUUAACUCUUGUUUAUGUCAAUUAGCCUAUGACAAAAUUGGUUUCCUUGUAUGUCAUUUUGCUUAAAGCUGCAAUUUCCAAGAACUACAUUAAGUGAGGACAUUAUAUAAAGACUUACUAUAUUCUAUUAGUUGUUGUCAGGCCUCUGAGCUCAAGCUAAGCCAUCAUAUCCCUUGUGACCUGCACCUAUACAUCCAGAUGGCCUGGAGCAACUGAAGAUCCACAAAAGAAGUGAAAAUAGCCUUAACUGAUGACAUUCCACCAUUGUGAUUUGUUUCUUCCCCACCCUAACUGAUCAAUGUACUUUGUAAUCUCCCCCACCCUUAAGAAGGUUCUUUGUAAUUCUCCCCACCCUUGAGAAGGUACUUUGUGAGAUCCACUCCCUGCCUGCCAAACAUUGCUCCUAACUCCACCGUCUAUCCCCAAACCUAUAAGAGCUAAUGAUAAUCCCACCACCCUUGCUGACUCCUUUUUCGGACUCAGCCCGCCUUGAGUCCAAAAUAAAUAAACAGCCUUGUUGCUCACACAAAAC